AUACGUAGAGUGCAAACGUUGUUCGGAAUUACUGGGCAUAAAGAGCUCGUAGGUGGCACGUUAAGUCGGAUGUGAAAGCCCCGGGCUCAACCUGGGAAUUGCAUUCGAUACUGCAGAGCUAGAGUAUGGUAGAGGGAAGUGGAAUUUCCGGUGUAGCGGUGAAAUGCGUAGAUAUCGGAAGGAACACCAGUGGCGAAGGCGACUUCCUGGGCCAAUACUGACGCUGAGGUGCGAAAGCGUGGGGAGCAAACAGGAUUAGAAACCCCGGUAGUCC
rnacentral:rRNA from 1 species